rnacentral:misc_RNA from 1 species
GAAAAGUUCAGUUGGCUGAUUAAGAAAUGAGUUUAGCUUACUUGUAUGCAUAAACAACCUAGUUUUAAGUGAGAAGUAGCCUUAUUGUAAUUUUCAUUGACAACUGGAACCUGGUGAGGGCAAUGGAGUCUUAGAGGUGCUUGAGCAUGGCUUGGAUAUUAGAUUUCAGCAAGAGUUAUUCUCUUGUUAAUUAGUCCUUAGUUCAUAGCAUUUGAUUUAUAUUGGACUCAGAUAAUGGUUUUCCAUCAUGGUGAAAUUCAAAUCAUACCAUGCACAUAUUUUCUCUUACCUUUCUUAUGCCAUUUUCCCCUUUUUCUCUGGCAAUCUG